AUUGAACGCUGGCGGCAGGCUUAACACAUGCAAGUCGAACGAGUGGCGGACGGGUGAGUAAUGCUUGGGAAUCUAGCUUAUGGAGGGGGAUAACUACGGGAAACUGUAGCUAAUACCGCGUACCAUAGGAUGAGCCCAAGUGGGAUUAGGUAGUUGGUGAGGUAACGGAGCACCAAGCCGACGAUCUCUAGCUGGUCUGAGAGGAUGACCAGCCACACUGAGACUGAGAGACGGCCCAGAGUCCUACGGGAGGCAGCAGUGGGGAAUAUUGCGCAAUGGGGGCAACCUGACGCAGCCAUGCCGCGUGAAUGAAGAAGGCCUUCGGGUUGUAAAGUUCUUUCGGUAGCGAGGCGUUAACUACAGAAGAAGCACCGGCUAACUCCGUGCCAGCAGCCGCGGUAAUUC
rnacentral:rRNA from 1 species